GACGAACGCUGGCGGCGUGCUUAACACAUGCAAGUCGAACGAAGAGCGAUGGAAGCUUGCUUCUAUCAAUCUUAGUGGCGAACGGGUGAGUAACGCGUAAUCAACCUGCCCUUCAGAGGGGGACAACAGUUGGAAACGACUGCUAAUACCGCAUACGAUCUAAUCUCGGCAUCGAGGAUAGAUGAAAGGUGGCCUCUACAUGUAAGCUAUCACUGAAGGAGGGGAUUGCGUCUGAUUAGCUAGUUGGAGGGGUAACGGCCCACCAAGGCGAUGAUCAGUAGCCGGGCUGAGAGGAUGAACGGCCACAUUGGGACUGAGACACGGCCCAGACUCCUACGGGAGGCAGCAGUGGGGAAUCUUCCGCAAUGGACGAAAGUCUGACGGAGCAACGCCGCGUGAGUGAUGACGGCCUUCGGGUUGUAAAGCUCUGUUAAUCGGGACGAAAGGCCUUCUUGCGAACAGUUAGAAGGAUUGACGGUACCGGAAUAGAAAGCCACGGCUAACUACGUG
rnacentral:rRNA from 1 species